rnacentral:sRNA from 1 species
GUUCGUGGGCACCCCCUUCUGGAUGGCGCCUGAGGUCAUCAAGCAGUCGGCCUACGACUUCAAGGCUGACAUCUGGUCCCUGGGGAUCACGGCCAUCGAGCUGGCCAAGGGGGAGCCUCCAAACUCUGACCUCCACCCCAUGCGCGUCCUGUUCCUGAUUCCCAAGAACAGCCCACCCACACUGGAGGGCCAGCACAGCAAGCCCUUCAAGGAGUUCGUAGAGGCCUGCCUCAACAAAGACCCCCGAUUCCGGCCCACGGCCAAGGAGCUCCUGAAGCACAAGUUCAUCACACGCUACACCAAGAAGACCUCCUUCCUCACGGAGCUCAUCGACCGCUAUAAGCGCUGGAAGUCAGAGGGGCAUGGCGAGGAGUCCAGCUCUGAGGACUCUGACAUGUAGGGACCUGGUUUAUCCUCAUGGUGACCCUAGGUGCUGUGACGUGGGUGGUCCCCACUCCAGAAGCAGGGGCGUGGGCCCUGGGGGUGAGGGUGACCAGAUAUAGUGUUGGGCAGGGACCCCCUCAA